CUAAGCAAAUUUAUCUAGCAUUCAACCAUUUCUUAAGAUCUGAUUUGGUUUUAUUCAAGGAAUUUGAAACCUUUACAUUGAACCAUUUCUUAUCUUAAUUCGUGGGUUGCUAGCGCAAAUACAGUGCAAUCUAAUGUUUUGAUGCAUACUUGAUUCGGUCUCAAAUGUGAAGGAAGAAAAGUACAUGCUUCUAACUUAAAUUCAGUACAGUUUUUCAUAUAUUCUUUGUCAAUUGAAUCUAGCCAUUAUGGCCUCUUCUCACUAACUCUGUUUUAGUAUAAAUAGGUCUUUUCAACUACAUGAUGUUUUCAAUCUGGAUAAUGAUAAUAGAGGAGAAGAUACACCAACACUGAUUGAUUGCAAGGACAAUGUCUUCAUAAUCUCAAAUUUUAAAUCAAAAUAUCCAGUGAUGCAACUAGAUUUGAGAUUAAUAUCAGAUUUGAGGGUCGUUUUUGUAUCUGCAGCCUGUGGUGGCACUGCCUUUGCUUGCGCUGGACAACCUGUCUGAUACGUACAUUCAUAAAUGCAUACACGUCUACAUAUAUUUCCAAAUUUAAUAGAGAAAACUUAAUGCUAUGAUCUUACUUAGUGUUCAUAUUCUGCUUUCUUCGUACCAAAACUUGACUGGCUAUUAGUGAAUGAUUUCAUUGAACAACAUAUGCAUCAAUUACAUGCUGCAAGUGUAUGAUGGUGAAGCCGUUACGGUGCCUUCAAAUGAUCACAUUCAUUU